GGACAAGCUACUAAGGGUCCAUGGUGGAUGCCUAGGCACCAAGAGCCGAAGAAGGACGCGGCUACCUGCGAAAAGCACCGGGAAGUUGGAAGCGAACGUUGAUCCGGUGAUAUCCGAAUGGGGCAACCCGCCUGGAGUAAUUUCCAGGCACUCCCGGCCGAACACAUAGGCCGGGCAGAGGGCACUCGGGGAACUGAAACAUCUUAGUACCCGAAGGAAGAGAGAUUCCCUUAGUAGAGGCGAUCGAAAAGGGAGCAGCCUAAACCGUGUGCGUGCCAAGGCGGCAGCCGUUGCGCGCGCGGUGUUGUGGGACCACUCAGUGAGCUCUGCCGAGCUCGCAGCGAGUUACCAAGCCGGCGGUUAGUCGAAGUUGAUGGAAAGCAAGGCCACAGAAGGUGACAGCCCUGUAGACGAAAACCGACCGGCCUCGCGAGUGGCACCCGAGUACCCCGGGACACGCGAAAUCCUGGGGGAAUCCGCGCAGCCCACUGCGUAAGGCUAAAUACUCUUGGUGACCGAUAGUGAAGAGUACCGUGAGGGAAAGGUGAAAAGAACCCCGGAAGGGGAGUGAAAUAGAACCUGAAACCGUGGACCUACAAACAGUCAAAGGCCUAGGUGCAUGACUUCGGUUGUGCACAGGCUGAUGGCGUGCCUUUUGUAGAAUGAGCCGGCGAGUUGCUGUUCGUGGCGAGGCUAAGGGGGUGACACCCGGAGCCGCAGCGAAAGCGAGUCUGAAUAGGGCGCGGCCCCGCAAGGGGUUGUAGUCGCGGGCAGCAGACCCGAAACCUGGUGACCUACCCAUGGUCAGGGUGAAGCGAGGGUAAAACCUCGUGGAGGCCCGAACCGACUUAGGUUGCAAACUGAGCGGAUGAACUGUGGGUAGAGGUGAAAUGCCAAUCGAACCAGGAGAUAGCUGGUUCUCCUCGAAAUGCCUUUAGGGGCAGCGUUGUCGUGGGCUGGCGCAGGUAGAGCACUGAAUGGGCUAGGGGCGGUUCCCCCGUUACCAAACCCAACCAAACUCCGAAUGGCGUCAGGUUAUACGGCAGCAGUGAGACCGUGGGGGCUAAGCUUCACGGUCGAGAGGGAAACAACCCAGACCAUCGGCUAAGGUCCCUAAAUCGUGACUAAGUGGCAAAGGAGGUCACUUUGCCCGGACAACCAGGAGGUUGGCUUAGAAGCAGCCACCCUUUAAAGAGUGCGUAAUAGCUCACUGGUCGAGUGGAGUGGCGCCGAAAAUGAUCGGGGCUCAAGUCUCUUACCGAAGCCAUGGAGCGUGCACGCAAGUGCGCGUUGGUAGAGGAGCGUCGUGCUGGCGGUGAAGCAUGAACGGAAGUCCGUGUGGAGCCUGCACGAGUGCGAAUGCCGGCACAAGUAGCGUAAAGGUCGGUGAGAAACCGGCCCGCCGUAAAUCUAAGGUUUCCUGGGCAACGUUAAUCGUCCCAGGGUCAGUCGGGCCUAAGCCGAGGCCGAAAGGCGUAGGCGAUGGACAACUGGUGCACAUUCCAGUACCACCUCGCGUUCGUUAUACCGAUGGGAGGACGAAGGAGGGUAGGCCAACCGGACGAUUGGAUGUGUCCGGCCAAGGUUGUAGGGAGCUCCGACAGGCAAAUCCGUCGGGGCGUCAUCCUGAGAGCUGAUGGGGAGCCUCCCUUUGGGAGGCGAAGUGGCUGAUUCCAUGCUUCCGAGAAAAGCCUCUAGGGAGAACGCAGGUGCCCGUACCGCAAACCGACGCUGGUAGAUGGGAAGAGGAUUCCAAGGCGAUCGAGAGAACUCUGCCUAAGGAACUCGGCAAAAUAGCCCCGUAACUUCGGGAGAAGGGGUGCCUUUGCUCGUGUAGGAGUUCACCUCCGAAGCGGGUGAAGGUCGCAGCUAAGAGGCCCAACCGACUGUUUACUAAAAACACAGGUCUCUGCGAACGCGAAAGCGGACGUAUAGGGGCUGACGCCUGCCCGGUGCCGGAAGGUUAAGA
rnacentral:rRNA from 1 species